GACGAACGCUGGCGGCGUGCUUAACACAUGCAAGUCGAACGAAGUGGCGAACGGGUGAGUAACGCGUAAUCAACCUGCCCUUCAGAGGGGGACAACAGUUGGAAACGACUGCAAAUACCGCAUACUGAAGGAGGGGAUUGCGUCUGAUUAGCUAGUUGGAGGGGUAACGGCCCACCAAGGCGAUGAUCAGUAGCCGGUCUGAGAGGAUGAACGGCCACAUUGGGACGGAGACACGGCCCAGACUCCUACGGGAGGCAGCAGUGGGGAAUCUUCCGCAAUGGACGACAGUCUGACGGAGCAACGCCGCGUGAGGGAUGACGGCCUUCGGGUUGUAAAGCUCUGUUAAUCGGGACGCGGUACCUGAAUAGAAAGCCACGGCUAACUACGUGCCAGCAGCCGCGGUAAUUC
rnacentral:rRNA from 1 species